rnacentral:rRNA from 1 species
GUCUACAGCCAUGCCACCCUGAAUAUGCCCGAUCUCAUCUGAUCUCGGAAGCUAAGCAGAGUCGGGCCUGGUUAGUACUUGGAUGGGAGACUACCUAGGAAGAGCAUGAAAAAAAAGAAA